rnacentral:lncRNA from 1 species
GACGUGGCUGUACUUUUCUCCCAGGAGGAGUGGGGGCUCCUCGAUGAGGCUCAGAAAUGCCUGGACCACCACGUGAUGCUGGAGACCUUGGCGCUUCUGUCCUCACUGGGUUGUUGGCAUGGAGACCAGCCUGAGGAGCCACCCUCAGCGCAAGGCGUUUCUAGGGAGUGUCACCAUCUGGAAGACCCAGCCCUGAUCGGCUGUUCCAUAUUUUAGAUUCCACAAGUAAGUGAUAUAUGCUAUUCGUCUUUUGCUUUCUG